GACGAACGCUGGCGGCGUGCUUAACACAUGCAAGUCGAACGGAAAGGCCCUGCUUUUGUGGGGUGCUCGAGUGGCGAACGGGUGAGUAACACGUGAGUAACCUGCCCUUGACUUUGGGAUAACUUCAGGAAACUGGGGCUAAUACCGGAUAGGAGCUCCUGCUGCAUGGUGGGGGUUGGAAAGUUUCGGCGGUUGGGGAUGGACUCGCGGCUUAUCAGCUUGUUGGUGGGGUAGUGGCUUACCAAGGCUUUGACGGGUAGCCGGCCUGAGAGGGUGACCGGCAACAUUGGGACUGAGAUACGGCCCAGACGCCUACGGGAGGCAGCAGUGGGGAAUAUUGCACAAUGGGAGGAAGCCUGAUGCAGCAACGCCGCGUGCGGGAUGACGGCCUUCGGGUUGUAAACCGCUUUCGCAUGUGACGAAGCGUGAGUGACGGUAAUGGGUAAAGAAGCACCGGCUAACUACGUG
rnacentral:rRNA from 1 species